rnacentral:rRNA from 1 species
UACGUAGGAUCCAAGCGUUGUCCGGAUUUACUGGGUGUAAAGGGUGCGCAGGCGGACUUGUUAGUCAGGGGUGAAAUCUCACAGCUUAACUGUGAAACUGCCUUUGAUACUGCAAGUCUUGAAUUGGGGAGAGGUGAGUGGAACUGCGAGUGUAGAGGUGAAAUUCGUAGAUAUUCGCAAGAACACCAGUGGCGAAGGCGGCUCACUGGCCCGAUACUGACGCUGAGGUGCGAAAGCGUGGGGAGCAAACAGG